CAGAUGCAUUCAAAGAGAUAAGGUUGUAGAAGGUAAGUAAUCCGAUGUGCGUUAAAAUCCAACAAGAACAUCUAAUGAGCCCAAGGAGGGGCUCGCGUCUGAUUAGCUAAUUGGUGAGACAAUAGCUUACCAAGGCGAUGAUCAGUAGCUGGUCCGAGAGGAUGAUCAGCCACACUGGGACUGAGACACGGCCCAGACUCCUACGGGAGGCAGCAGUGG
rnacentral:ncRNA from 1 species